rnacentral:rRNA from 1 species
AACGAACGCUGGCGGCGCGUUUUAAGCAUGCAAGUCGAACGGGAUUCAAGGUGCUUGCACCUUGAUGAGAGUGGCGAACGGGUGAGUAACGCGUAGGUGACCUACCUUUUAGUUGGGGAUAGCUCAUGGAAACAUGGGGUAAUACCGAAUAAUCUUCAUCUUCUUGUAGAUGAAGGAAAGGGGCGUUUGCCUCGCUGAAAGAUGAGCCUGCGUAUGAUUAGCUAGUUGGUAGGGUAAUGGCCUACCAAGGCGACGAUCAUUAGCCGGCCUGAGAGGGUGACCGGCCACAUUGGGACUGAGACACGGCCCAGACUCCUACGGGAGGCAGCAGCUAAGAAUCUUCCGCAAUGGACGCAAGUCUGACGGAGCGACGCCGCGUGUGCGAAGAAUGUCGAGAGAUUUGUAAAGCACUUUUAUAUGUGAGGAAUAAGCGAAUCAGGAAAUGGGUUUGUGAUGACGUUAGAUAUGAAUAAGCU